UGGAGAGGGUUGCUGGUGGAAGGUCAUAUGUAUGGCAGGAAUAUUUGGCUCCUUGCCAUACUUCCAGAAAGAGACAUAAGUUUCCAUUUGCUGUCCU